rnacentral:lncRNA from 1 species
GUGUUGAAGUGGAUUCAUGGAGUGAACUUUGUAUUUAAAUAUAUAAAGCUGAAAGAUUAGUGGUUAUGAGGAUGACUAACAACCCAAAAAUUAAUGACCAGCAUAAAAAAACCAUUUUAUUUACAUUUUAAAGAAAUUGAAAAUGAUCAAUAUGUUUAUGUCCGCCAUAUUGGAAAUCACCGGAAGUAAGGAUUUGAAAGACACGUGUCUUAUACAUUGUAUCCAUGAGAAACACCAAAGAAAGGUUCCUGCAAAAUGUAAGGACAGUAGAAAUGCUUUGAAACAUAUUUUAAUUACCCUCCCCCCUAAACAUAACCUUAUUUUAGUACAAUGUCCACCAUAUUGGAUUUUACCGGAAGUAGGGUUUUUGAAGACAUCUAAUCUAUAUCAUAUAUCCA